rnacentral:rRNA from 1 species
UACAGAGGGUGCAAGCGUUGUUCGGAAUUAUUGGGCGUAAAGGGAGUGUAGGCGGUUCUUUAAGUCUUCUGUGAAAUCUACGGGCUUAGCUUGUAACGUGCAGAGGAAACUGGAGGGCUUGAGUGUCGGAGAGGAUAGGGGAAUUCCCGGUGUAGAGGUGAAAUUCGUAGAGAUCGGGAGGAACACCAGUGGCGAAGGCGCCUAUCUGGCUGACAACUGACGCUGAGACUCGAAAGCAUGGGGAGCAAACGGG